rnacentral:rRNA from 1 species
GGAAGGCAGCAGGCGCGUAAAUUACCCAAUCCUGACUCAGGGAGGUAGUGACAAGAAAUAACAGACCGGAGCCUCUGGUUCCGGGAUUGCAAUGAGUACAAUUUAGACUCCUUAACAAGUAACAAUUGGAGGGCAAGUCUGGUGCCAGCAGCCGCGGUAAUUCCAGCUCCAAUAGUGUAUAUUAAUGUUCCUGCAGUUAUUCGAUGCUCGUAGUUGGAUUUCUGGAGGCUGAGACAGGAGGGCAGCCAAGGUUGUCGCCAGUCUCUUCCUUCAUCCGCCUGUUAACGUUGUCCGGGAUUUAUUUCUCGGCUUCGGGCUCAGGUACUUUUUUUGUUUUACCCUUUCUUUAUAUUCAUUUAUUUAUCUUUAUUUUUUGAGCAAAUUAUAGUGUUUCAGGCAGGCGUGCGCCGGAAUACAUUAGCAUGGAAUAAUCGAAUUGGACCGUGUAUUCACUAUGUGAAUUCUUCCUUAUUUGUUGGUUCUAAGGACACGGAUAUGAUUAAUAGGGAUAGUAAUUUUCAGGGGAGGCAUUAGUAUUUAAUUUCCAGAGGUGAAAUUCUUUGAAAUAUUAAAGACUAACUUAUGCGAAAGCAUUUAUUUUGCCAAUAAUGUUUUCAUUAAUCAUUGAACGAAAGUUAGGGGAUCAAAGACGAUCAGAUACCGUCCUAGUCUUAACCAUAAACGUUGCCGACUAGGGAUCGGAGGGCGUGCACAUUCCGCCUUCGGCACCUUACGAGAAAUCAAAGUCUUUUGGGUUCUGGGGGUAGUAUGGUCGCAAGGCUGAAACUUAAAGGAAUUGACGGAAGGGCACCACCAGGAGUGGAGCUUGCGGCUCAAUUUGACUCAACACGGGAAAUCUUACCAGGUCCAGACAUAGCGAGGAUUGACAGAUUGAUAGCUCUUUCUUGAUUCUAUGGGUAUUUUUGGUGGUGCAUGGCCGUUCUUAGUUGGUGGAGUGAUUUGUCUGGUUAAUUCCGUUAACGAACGAGACCUCGACCUACUAAAUAGUUCGACAAACCAUUUGGUUUGGCUGCAACUUCUUAGAGGGACUAUCAGAAUGUAACUGAUGGAGGUUCGAGGCAAUAACAGGUCUGUGAUGCCCUUAGAUGUCCUGGGCCGCACGCGUGCUACACUGAUACGUACAACGAGGUAUAUGCAUUUAUGCAUCUUUGCUGCUCCGAAAUAGACACAGCUAAAUCUUCUAAAAUACGUAUCGUGCUGCGGAUAGAUCGUUGAAAUUAUGGAUCUUGAAGGUGGAAUUCCUAGUAAGCGCAGGUCAUCAACCUGCGUUGAUUACGUCCCUGCCCUUUGUACACACCGCCCGUCGCUCCUACCGAUUGAAUGAUCCGGUGAAGUGUUCGGAUUGCGUCGACGAUGGUGGUUCGCCGCCGUCGACGUCGUGAGAAGUUCAUUGAACCUUAUCAUUUAGAGGAAGGAGAAGUCGUAACAAGGUUUCCGUAGGUGAACCUGCGGAAGGAUCAAU